UACAGCAACAUACUGAGUAUCUAGGUGGAAU
rnacentral:piRNA from 1 species